rnacentral:pre_miRNA from 1 species
AGGUACCACCUCCAUCUGAUUUUAAGUGUAGUUCUAUUGUCCGUCUUAUUUAAAUUUUUUUAUGAUUAAUAUUAUUAGAUGAUAAAACAUUAAUAUUAUUUUAUGCGUGAUUUAUUUUUUAUUUUUCAUAUUUUUUAGAUAAGAUGGACGGUCAGCCAUUAGGCAGUGAAACUUACAAUUGCAUUUAAA